GUGAGGAAUAUUGGGCAAUGGGCGAAAGCCUGACCCAGCCACGCCGCGUGAGUGAUGAAGGCCUUCGGGUUGUAAAGCUCUGUGGGGAGGGAAGAAAAAGCGCAGGAGUAACUGCCUGUGUGUUGACGGUACUUCCUUAGCAAGCACCGGCUAACUCUGUGCCAGCAGCCGCGGUAAUACAGAGGGUGCAAACGUUGCUCGGAAUUACUGGGCGUAAAGCGCGUGUAGGCUGACAUGCAAGUCGGGUGUGAAAUCCCAGGGCUCAACCUUGGAACUGCACUCGAAACUGCACGUCUUGAGUACUGGAGAGGGAAGCGGAAUUCCGGGUGUAGAGGUGAAAUUCGUAGAUAUCCGGAGGAACACCAGUGGCGAAGGCGGCUUCCUGGACAGUAACUGACGCUGAGACGCGAAAGCGUGGGGAGCAAACAGGAUUAGAAACCCGUGUAGUCC
rnacentral:rRNA from 1 species